rnacentral:rRNA from 1 species
UACGUAGGGUGCAAGCGUUAUCCGGAAUUAUUGGGCGUAAAGAGCUCGUAGGCGGUCUGUCGCGUCUGCUGUGAAAUCUGGGGGCUCAACCCCCAGCCUGCAGUGGGUAGGGCAGACUAGAGUGCGGUAGGGGGAGAUUGAACUCCUGGUGUAGCGGUGGAAUGCGCAGAUAAUCAGGAAGAACACCGAUGGCGAAGGCAGAAUCUC